CCAUUUCCUCUCUAUUCUUCCCUUCUCCCCUUCCAUCAUGACAACGAUUUAGGGCAUCCAGCACUACAACGAUUUAGGGCUUUCUAGUCCAAUUUCAAAUAUAUUUUUCCUCCCUUCUUCAGCUUUCACACUAACAUACCCAAUUAUUUAAAUUUGCUUAUCAAAUGAUUCGGAUUUUAGACACUCUUGUUUUAGUUUGGGUAAAUUACACCUAUUUCUGAAAAUGUUCGAACUAACUUGGGUUUCAUUUUUUGGUCUUUUUGAAAAAGAUUAAUCAACUAUUGAGUCUUUUUGAAUAUAUAUUGUUGGUUGUUCUGAUAGGCAGCGGUCGGUAUAUUGACCACAUACCUAUCUUUCUUUCUCAGAGAAUUAAGAUGCAAACUCUGCAAAAACUUAUUCUCUCUCAUGAAUCCCCUCAAUGGGUUAGCCUAUCCUUCACUAAUCACAGAAUCCAUCAAGACCAAUCUGGGUCAAGUGAACCCGUCUGUUGGCUCUCCAGCACCACAAGAUCAAACAAAGACGCACCAUUCGAAUCAAUCAAUGAGCUCUUAAUUGUCAAACAAUCUCUUGAACAAGGUGAAGAAGAACUCAUUUUUUGCGAUGAAAAACAAGUGGUUUAAAUGGUAAAUUAUUUGGUUCCAAAUUCUGUACCGUUUAUUCUUUUGGUAUGAGGAUUGAAACUAGUGAUGUGUAGCUUAUAUACAUAUGCUCAGCUGGCUUACAGUGGACUUGAUAAAUAAAAUGGUAAAAUAAUAUAAUUUAGGAAUAUAAAUUGAAUGUUGCGACAUGAAUGAAUAUAAGGGUAGUAGAUCAGAAACCUUUCCCUUGCAAUAAUAGUUAGCUAUAUUAUGUGGCUAGGCCUGACCUCCUUCUGUUUGAGCCUGGGUCUAGCCUAAAUAAUGGUCAAAGCCAGGCGACCUAUUUGUGCAUGUCUUUGUUAAUAGAUUAAGCACAUACUAAUGUUGGGAUAAGAAGAUAUUGCAACUUCUAUGCUAAUAAAAUAUUUUUUGUAAUUUCUAUGUAAGAAAAUAUUUGAAGGGGUAAGGUCUUUGAUUUCAAAUUCAUUGGUAAGUUUUGCCUUGCGAUUAACCAUCUCUUUUUUAUUAUUUUUAGUUGCUACAAUGUUAUUGACAUAGACAAUGAGAAUGAUAAUAUUGUCAUUUUCACGUUUGACAAACAUAGUGUGAUCUGGCCGUUUUUGUUUAUACCCAAAUCUCAUCAUGGUUUUAUAGAACAUGUCAAACCUUGACAAAAAUAGUGUGAUUUGCUCGGCUUUGCACUUUGCUUGUACCCAAAUCUCAUCAUGGUUUUAUAGAACCUGCCAAACCUUGACGAACAAAAUGUGAUCUGCCCGGCUUUUCUUAUACCAAAAUCUCAUCAUGGCUUUAUAGUGUGAUCUGUUCGACUUUGCUUGUACUCAAAUUUUAUCAUAAUUUUAUAGAACCUGUCGAACUUUGUUCUAGGGACCGUUUCAACCCAUAUAGAGGUAUAUAGAGCAACAGAAAACAUAUAAAAGGGAUUUGGAUUCUAGGCGGUCCAAAUAGGGCAAUUCAUUUGGACAGUCAUAUGAAAACAAGUUGAAUUUGUAUAACUGAGAGUUAUAAUAGUAUAAUAUAUGAAUUCGAAAUGCAACUCUGACCUAUAUGAAUGCAACUCGUUUGUAUAAAAUGCCCGAAUAGAUUGUCCAUUUCUAACUGUGACAUUAGGAUCCAUAUAAAACCUAGUAUAAGAUUGUGCACUUCCUCAAGGGUAUCUAGCUAGAAUGUAUCGCUCCCGUGUAUAAGCAGAUGUUGUAUAUUCUUGAAUUUGUUAAAAUAGGAAGAUGCAUACUGAAUAGCAAGUUCCCUUUAGCUGGGGCCUUUCAAUUCUAAUCUCUUUUGGUACUUCAACAAUGAACUCUAAACUUUGGUUAAUAAACUUCAAACUCUGGUUUAUAAACCUUGAAACCUUGUUAAUAAAGUAACCUUUAUUCUUAUUAGCGGCAGAUGAUAUGUGUUUUUUAUUGUCCGCUAAUAAUAGUAGCGGACGUCGAUUUCUAAUCGUUCCUUUUUAUUUUGGUGUAUGUCCUAUAAGAAUUUAUAGCAAAUGCAUAUUAUGGAUCAUUCUCAUAUAUAUAUAUAUAUAUAUAUAUAUAUAUAUAUAUAUUUCUGCUUGAAAUUCUUAUUUAUUACUCCCUCCGUUCCUUAAUAUAAGUUAUUUUAGAGAAAUGUUUUUAUUCCUAAAUAUAAGUCGUUUGAGAAUUUCAAGUAAGUAUUAAUUGCUUAGUUUCCAAUAUUACCCCAAGUAAUAAAUAUAACUUUGGUUCCCUCACUAUUUUUUGUCCAAUAAAUAACACUCUUUUUUUUCAAUACAAGGGCAAUAUAGACAAUUGAUAAUAUAUUUAAUGUUUUAUAAUCAUUUUCUUCAUACAUGCACAACUCUAAAACGACCUAUAUUAAGGAACGGAUAGAGUACUAUGUAAGAAGAAGCCACCAAGAAGUGCAAUUCCGUAUGUGACUCAUUGAUUUCCAAGUUUUAACAAUUCUUAGUGUUAAAACUCCCCCCUGAUCCUACUUUAGUAAUUUCAUUUAUUUUCUGUCUAAAAUAUUUCUCAUGGACCUAAAUCAUAUCAUGAAGUCGUCUUAAUUUCAUUUUCACCUUUUGCAAAACCCCGGAACAAGUCCAGUCUCCUAACUAGUACUCUUUCAUCAUCUUUAUCUCUAUGAUCAACAAAAUCGACAUUGAGAUCGAUUUCAGAUAAAGGAGCUCGAUUUCUCUGUCGUGGAGCCAUGUCAAAGUAACGAUCAAAAUAAUCCUUAGAAAUCUCGUUUGAAGUCUAUUGAGAAUGAGAUCCAUUAUGCUUGCAUAUGCCUCUUUUAGUUGUGUUUAGCCGGAGAAAAAAUUUGGCGGAAUUUUAUUUUUUUGCGGAGAGAGAAAUUUUUUAUCAGGAUGUGAAACGUCCAUCAAUUAUGAGAGUGUAAAAUGAAGUCUGGUGUUAAUGGAGAAUUAACACCCUGUUUCUGAGUUUUGAACAGAAAAGAAAAGAAUAGAAAACUUAAAUUAGAACAGAAAAGAAAAAAAUAGAAAAUUUGAAAUUUUCUUCUGUGUUGUUUCUGAGUUUUUAAUAGAAAAGAAUAGAAAAUUUAAAAUUGAGGACAUGAGUUGUAAUUUAAAAUUUAUUAUAUUAAAAGUUGAGGAUAAUAUGAGAAUUAUAAAAAUAUUACUUAUUCCAAUUUCUUUUCCGUCCAAAUCAGGCCAAUUUUAGACGAAAAACUUUGGCAAGAAAAGUGGUCAAGUUUUCUAUCUAUUUCUUUUCCUUUCUGUUUAUUAAAAAAUUCAGAAACAUAAGAAUUGGAAAGAAAACUUAAAUUUUUCGUCCAUUUCUUUUCUUUUCUGUCUAUUUUAAAACUCAGAAACAAAGCGUAAAUGAGAUUAAAGUAUUAAUUAAGGGUAAAAUAGUAAAAUUGUAUCUAUUCUUAAUCUGUGUAAAAAUUUCUAGAACGUCAGAUAUAAUGAGAUGAAGAGAGUAGUAGACUUCGAAACUACCACCUUCCACCCCCGUGGGAACUCGUCAUCUACUUUGCUCCUGCCCUCGUCACCAUUAGAAAUUAAAGCUUUGUCCCCACGCCAUCCAAGGAUUCUAGGAAGCAAUAAAAAUUGAGAGCAGAUCCUUUGUCCCCAAAUUCCCUGUCCCCCUUGUGUCCCCCUACUUAAAUUUUAACACAUGUUCUUUUAUUUAAUUUUAGAAUUAAAUAAUGUUAAUAGACUAGGUGUCAAAAUUUAAGUGAAGGAACACAAGGGGAUAGGAAAAUUAAGGACAGGGGAUCUGCUCUCAUAAAAAUCCUAGAUACAGUCAAGCCAAGAUGCGCCACAAAUUUGGAUUGAUUUACGAGUUUAUUGGCUUUAACCAAUGGAUGUAUGACACUACACAUGUUAUGUGACGCCCCGAAAAAUAGGUAUACAUCACCCAUCUUGAGUAGCCAGAUACAUGGUACAAAAUACAAAUACAACUUAAUUAUACAAACGUCGUGUAAAAAUACGAGAAAACAUAACUGAGAGUUUUAAUAAGAAUAUUGUUAUCUAGACAAUAUUCACACUCAAAGGAGUCCUCAUUACAUUUAUUGUCACACUAUUUAACAGAAUAGUGAGGACUACUAAUGCUAUUAUCUGGACCGUCACUCCGUUCCCCGACUCGUCCCAACUAUAUUCUCAUUUCCUGAAGAGAACAAUGAAAACAAAAGGGUGAGCUCAACUAACCCAGUAAAAAAUAUUGUGACUAAGAUAAUGCAGAAUAAAUUAUCGUUACCCGUUAACAGUAUUGAACUGAUACAAUAUAACAAACAUCAAGUUUAACUAUAGCGGAAUAAGCAAUCCAUUAAAAGAGUCAAGUAGAGAAUAAAAUCUACUAUCUUUUAUGAUUUAAAAAGAUUUUUCAUCACUUUUAUCGCUGGGACUCAGCUUAAUAAAUAAUCCACAUCAUCCCUGCACUACGGCCAAUGAUAUUCAUUAGUAUCACAACCACAAAUUAUUCAUGCACUACGGGCCAAGGAUAUUCGUGUAUUCAUCAAUGGUCAUAAUCAUACCAACAACUGUCCAUCAAUGCACUACUGGCCAAUGAGGACUUUUACCACAUCAUUUGUAACAUUACGGUCAUGAUUGUACCGAAUAAUUCCUUGUCAUAAUCAUACCAAGUCCAUCUAUGCACUACAGACCACAGAUGACUUUCAACAUAAUAUAAACAUGAGGAUGAUGACAAUGAUAUAAGAAUUCAAUAAAACAAGUUCAAGAAUUAAUUUAUCUAGGAACUAAUAACGUCCAAAUUGUCAACAUGAUACUUCUUUGUAGAGUAAAAUUCAAGAAUGCUCAGAAGAAUAUUUCCAUGAAAAGAUACUGGAUGAAGCGCAAAUAUCAAGGAUAUUCCACUAAUUUCAUGGAGUAUAGAAGUCAAAACUUUAACCAACUGAAUAUAAAUAAGAAUGGAAUAAUAAAAGAAAUCACCAGGCAUGCAAUAGACCGCACAUACAGGUUAUUCCAACAGAAUAAUAAAUAACGGAACCAGGUCAUGCGUAAACGCACAGACAGGAUAUUCUAACAGAAUAAUAAAUAAUGAAACCAGGUCAUGCGUAAACACACAGACAGGAUGUUCCAACAGAAUAAUAAAGAAUGGAAUAACAGAAGAAUUUCACCAUGUAUGCGGUACUUCGCAUAGACAGGUUAUUCCAACAUAAUGAUAAAGAAUGGAACAACAGAAGAAUUUCACCAUGUAUGCGGUACUUCGCAUAGACAUAUUAUUCCAACAUAAUGAUAAAUAAUGGAAUAACAAAAGAAUUUCACCAAGUAUAAGGUAGCCCGCGUAUACAGGUUAUUCCAACAGAAUAAUAAAGAAUGGAAUAACAGAAGUUCUCUUCAUGAAUACGAAAGAAAUAAUACCCCUUACGAUUACAACAAAUAAUAUCCCUUACCUUAGAAGAAAGUGGAUAUAGAAGUAGUGAAGUAACAAAAUACUUUUUUUUUCUCUCUAUAGUUUCUCUCUCUAGAGUUUCAGUGAAUUCCUAAGAAAUAAUGAAAGAAUGAGCUUCUAUUUAUAGGAGAAUGGACUGAAUAGUAACUAACUCAUGAACGGUCCAGAUUGAUUUACUUUUAAACGGAUGGUCCAUAUUGAUUUACUAUGCAGUAUUAAUAAAAUAUUCUAAUAAAACAAAAUCUUUUAAAUAAAAUAUAAUAUAUUCUAUUUAUAAUCUAAUAAAACGAAUAACUUUAUAAAAGAUUUUACUAUGCAAAUACUAUGCAGGCACUAUGUAAAUACUAUGCAUAAUAAAAUAUAGUAUAUUCUAAUUAUUAUCUAAUAAAACAAAUAACUUUAUAAAAGUAUUUUGUUUUAUAUAAAAAGAUUUUACUAUGCAAAAUACUAUGCAUAAUAAAAUAUAAUUUAAUAACAUUUAUCAUCAUCAUUAUAAUUCACAAUAUUAAUCGAUCAGGUCGUUCCCAGGAAAGAGGGGGCUUUCCAAUAACGAUUUCUCCUUAUUGGCGCGCAAUUAGGUGACCAAACCUCCCCUCGACAGAAUUUUCUAGACAUCGUUAAUAUUGUAAAUAAUAAUAUGAAUAAUUGUAUCGUCUCAAUUAUUGAUUUAAUAAUAUAUAAAAUAUCGACAAUAAUUGAAUCAAAUAACGUGAGAUACUAUGCAACAAUUACUGUAGCAAUAAUUGAACAAAACUGAGUGACUUCUCACGUAAGCAUCAAUAAUCAAUACCGUGUGCUACUAUGCAACCACGCGUAUUACUGUACUUUUAACACCGGGUGUUUCAACAGUUAACGGUAAAACUUCCGCCGUUAUUUUCAUAAAGUAUUUUUGUCGUUUUCUCAAUCCGACAAUAAUUCCGUUGUGGGGUCCACCAAUGAUUGUGCCGUUGUACGAAUAUUCCCUGUUAAAACGAAUAUUCCCCGACCAAUCGAAUAUUAUAUAACAACUUGCGUACUUUGCAAAAUUUAUAAAUAUUACCCACAACUAUAACAUUAUAUCAAAUCCACACCAUAAUAUUCAAAAAAAUAUUUCGAGAAAUUUAAAUCUUUAUUCAUAAAAUUUGGGGUCUCACAUGUUAUCCUUACAUUUAUUCAGUACUUCCAUAAUAAACGUUCUAAUUUGACUUUCAUGGUCAAAUUGAUCAUUUUUAUAAUUAUAAAUAUUUAUAUUGAAUUUUCAAAAUCCCUAGUAAUAAAUUCUUCGUAGUUUAUUACGAUCAUAAUCACUUGUCACAUAUUUUGAUUUUUUUUAAAAAAAUUAUUAAUUUAAAAAAUGGCGAAUUUGAUCAUGAAAGUCAAAUUAUGACGUUUAUUAUGAGACCGAGAGAGUAUGAAAUAAGUUUUGAUUGAAACUCGUUUAGCUACCGAGUCUAGCACGAUCUCGAAUCGAGUUUGACUAGUUUGAAUUUUUUGAACGAAUGUGAUCUUAUUGAAAAUUACUAGGUUGGAGUAAAUUAUCGAAUUUUAUUCAACUUGUGAUUUUGGAGUAGCUAGAUGAGUUGAAGGGUUGCAUUUGCAUGUGUCGACACAAGUGAUGGGGUAUAUAUAUAUACAGAGAAGUUCUUAGACGGACCAAUUUGAACGGACUUGCAACGGACCAAAGGCAAAAAAAUAGCAAAAAAGCACGCGAGUCACAAAAUGGGUUAAAACAUGAGGCGGGUCACAAAAAAAAGGGGGGGGGAAACAAAGUUACUGCCGUCUGCCGAUUCCCUCUCUCUCUCCACGAUGCUCUCUCCCCAAAUCCUGCCGAUUCUCUCUCCCCGAUUCUGAGUAGUUUUUGCAUUUUUUCCAAAAAUUCCCUCUCUGUCAAAGCGAGUCUGAAGCAAACCGGAAGGAAAAAAGAUCGAACAGAACUUGUUGUAAACAGAGAGGUAAAGAUUCUGAGCAUAUAAAUCUUGUAAUUUCAAUUUGAUUUGAAAGAAAUCUAUGUAAUUUCAAUUUGAUUUGAAAGAAAUCUAGGGUUUCUGAGCAUAUGCUUUUUGUAAAGUCGCGUGAAUCUCUCUCAAACCCCUUCUCGCAAACCAAAUCGCGAGGUCAUUUUGGCUAUACCUGUAAGGCGAAGUUUAGAUCUGUAAGUUGAUAUUAAUUUCUGAAUUAUUAACUGUUGAUUUGGUUGUAGAUGUACUUAGUCACACAGUUGACAUCAAAAUAAUGGAAAUAGUCUCAAUUUUUCUUAGACCUUAGAAGUCUGCCCUGUUUCUUAAAAUGUACACAGACUGUUAAGUAAACUGCGUUACCCUGUUAGAGCUACCCUAAGACUUCAUUUCUAAACUUUCUUAGAAUUGUUUACAGUUGAUUUAUAAAUCUCUUUGUUUUACAAAUGUCAAGAUAACAAGUGAUAUGGGUAGUUUUUGAACUGGGUUAGUGUUGUAGAUUUUGAUCGAAUUGUAAAUGGGGCUGUGUAUUUUAUGGGUUUUGUUUCAUUUAUUCUUCACAUAUGUAUGAUUGUUAUUUGAGCUGUCAUCUAUCUAAUAAACUGUUUUACUUUGAUAUGGGUGAAAUGACAAAAUAAGCAAGUACAAAAAUGAAUAUUUAUGUUUGUUUUUUUGGUUCAAAGAUGCAUAAGUUAUUUUCUUUUUGUUUUUUUUCUCUUGCCAAAUGUUUGUAUAAAUACCCAACUAGGAUAAGAACAAAGCUGUCUAAUCAGACAUGAGAAUGAACCUAAUCUGAUAUUCAAAUGAACAAAUGAAUACAUUAUUAUUAUACUGCUUAUGUGUUGAAGGCUUAUGUAGUUUUGCUUGAAUUGUAGACAUGAAUACAUACUGCUUAUGUGUUGAAGGCUUUUGUAGUCAUUAUUAUUAAUAUCAUUAUGAUGAUUCUUUGUUUGUCUUGACCUUGAAUUAACCGUCCUGCACAUUCUGUAGUCCUUGUUUCUCUCUUUACUUCCUUCCCCUGUCUUAAUGGUUGGUUUACAUUAUAUAAAUCCUUUAAAUCUUUUCAGUGACUUGUUGCUAAUUGCUUUUUUCCUUUCUCUCUAAUAGGUAUGUUUAUUUGGGUCUUUUUCUGAAGAUGAAGUCAGGUCCUUGUUCAACUAGUCACCUGAAACUGCUAGUGAUGCUUUGAUUAGUGGAAGCGAGGUUAACACUCCGGCUCAUGGGAGUGAAAUGGGCACUACGGUUCAUGGUGAUGGUGAUGAAGAUAUGGAGGAUAUGGGAGUGAAAUGGACACUACGGUUCAGUCUGCUCUCAGCAUGCUUUGUGGUCUCUUUAUUGUACUAUUUGCAGUUUUUCUUUGUUAGUUGUGGAUUGGUGGUGAUCAGAAUGAAUGUUAUAAUUUUGUCCCUACCUAAUCUCACUUCUGAUGUAUUAAUAUUAGAAUUGGAUUUUGAUUACGAUUAGAAACCUUGGAAUUUUAUUGUUAUCAUAGUGAAAAGUGGGGUGUUUGAGUAUGUUAUUUGUGCAAAUCAUAAGCAUGGAGUCAUCUAAGUAUAGAUGUGGAUUUUCUUUUGUUGAUGAAUGGUUGUGUCCAUUAGAAUUGCAUAGCAGCCAUAGCUUGCUCCAUUUUGUA
rnacentral:lncRNA from 1 species